GAGUUUGAUCGUGGCUCAGAUUGAACGCUGGCGGCAUGCCUUACACAUGCAAGUCGAACGGCAGCAUGAUCUAGCUUGCUAGAUUGAUGGCGAGUGGCGAACGGGUGAGUAAUACAUCGGAACGUGCCCUGUAGUGGGGAGUAACUAGUCGAAAGAUUAGCUAAUACCGCAUACGACCUGAGGGUGGAAAGUGGGGGACCGGCAAGGCCUCAUGCUAUAGGAGCGGCCGAUGUCUGAUUAGCUAGUUGGUGGGGUAAAGGCCCGACCAAGGCGACGAUCAGUAGCUGGUCUGAGAGGACGAUCAGCCACACUGGGACUGAGACACGGCCCAGACUCCUACGGGAGGCAGCAGUGGGGAAUUUUGGACAAUGGGCGAAAGCCUGAUCCAGCAAUGCCGCGUGUGUGAAG
rnacentral:rRNA from 1 species